rnacentral:rRNA from 1 species
AGUGAACGCUGGCGGUAGGCCUAACACAUGCAAGUCGAACGGCAGCACAGUAAGAGCUUGCUCUUACGGGUGGCGAGUGGCGGACGGGUGAGGAAUACAUCGGAAUCUACUUUUUCGUGGGGGAUAACGUAGGGAAACUUACGCUAAUACCGCAUACGACCUACGGGAGAAAGCAGGGGAUCUUCGGACCUUGCGCGAUUGAAUGAGCCGAUGUCGGAUUAGCUAGUUGGCGGGGUAAAGGCCCACCAAGGCGACGAUCCGUAGCUGGGCUGAGAGGAUGAUCCGCCACACUGGAACUGAGACACGGUCCAGACUCCUACGGGAGGCAGCAGUGGGGAAUAUUGGACAAUGGGCGCAAGCCUGAUCCAGCCAUACCGCGUGGGUGAAGAAGGCCUUCGGGUUGUAAAGCCCUUUUGUUGGGAAAGAAAAGCAGCAGGUUAAUACCCCGCUGUUCUGACGGUACCCAAAGAAUAAGCACCGGCUAACUUCGUG